GACGAAGUAUGCAAGCGUUAUCCGGAUUCAUUGGGUUUAAAGGGUGCGUAGGCGGUUUUGUAAGUCAGUGGUGAAAUCUCAGAGCUCAACUCUGAAUGUGCCAAUGAUACUGCAGGACUUGAGAGCAGUCGAGGUAGCUGGAAUGUGUAGUGUAGCGGUGAAAUGCAUAGAGAUUACACAGAACACCAAUUGCGAAGGCAAGUUACUAGACUGUUUCAGACGCUGAUGCACGAAAGUGUGGGUAGCGAACAGG
rnacentral:rRNA from 1 species